AUCCUGGAUUAAUGGACUGAAAUUUCUCUUCUUCCUGGACAUAUCAAGCAACAAGCUAACAGGGGAUAUCCCAACCACAUUGAUGGAGAUGCCAAUGCUACAAUCAGAGAAGAAUGCUGCCAAGUUGGACCCAAAGCUCCUUGAGUUACCUGUAUAUUGGACACAAUCAGGUCAAUACCGUGUGCUCAAUGCUUUCCGGUUGGACCCCAAGUUCCUAGAGUUACCUGUAUAUUGGACACCAACACGUCAAUACCGCAUCCUCAAUGCUUUCCCCAUUUUAUUGAAUCUAGGCAACAAUGGCUUCACAGGUUCCAUUCCCCCAGAGAUUGGUCAGUUGAAAAUUCUCAAUGUCCUAAACUUCAGGUCCAACAACUUAUCUGGAAAAAUACCAUGGCAAAUCAGCAACCUCACAAGCCUGCAAGCGCUAGACCUGUCAAACAACCAGCUCACAGGUGAACUCCCAUCCACAUUGAGUGACCUACACUUCCUUUCUAUAUUCAAUGUGUCUAAUAAUGAACUGGAAGGGCCAAUUCCAACUGGAGCACAAUUCGAUACAUUUACCAAUUCUAGCUACGGUGGGAAUCCUAAUCUGUGUGGCGCUGUACUCAGCGUCCACUGCAUCUCCGCAUCAAGACACCAAUCCUCCAUCUCACGAGAACACAAGUUGCAUCGUGCAAUUAUCUUUGGAUUUGUUUUUGGAGGACUUGCUGCUCUUGCAUUGCUGGCAUGCUUCCUGAUUGCAAAAUUGGUAUAUGAUGAUCACACUGAGAACUUAGUUCUCCUUCAGAGGCGGUAGCUUUACUGACUGUAUGAUGCUUUGAGCAUUGUGAUCUUAUUAACCCUUGUAGUUUCAUUCAAUUGAAUCCUAUAGUCCCAUGUACAAUUAUUAGACCUUUUUCUAGAAACUAGUACUUUUUAAUCAUUGUCUGUACAUUGUCCUUAUUGCCGCCAAUUUUGAUAGUUGAUAUACUGACCAGAAAUAUCUUGUAUUAUAUAUUUAUAAAGUAAACUGAGGUUCUCAAAUCAACUCAGCGUGCACAAAGGGACACCUAAAACAAUUCUCUAGACUAGAUGCCGCAGUGCCAAGCUGCUACUGCAGUAAAGCUAGCAUUAUUAGCACAUAACCUAGCUAGUAAAUGUACAUGUAUCUAUAAAGAUUUGGUGGUUCUUAAGCACUAUUAUUUGUUAAAGAGUACUCUUUGUUAAAUCUUCAGUGUGCGAAUCCACCACAUUACCACAAUCUCCAAAAAAAAAUCAUACAGCAACAAGGGGAUUCAAAAUGCACUCUAGAAUUUAAAAAAAAAAAGACGCAGUUUUACCUCGCAGGCUCGAAGCUUUUGACGUUGCGCACGCGCCGGCGUCGGCAGCAGGACUGCAGGAGCAGCGAACGCCCAGUCGCCGCCAUCGACUGUACCCCGUGGCAUUGAGGGGAACCGCCGCUUCAUUCCAUUCCGCGAUCCUUCGGCACUGCGCGUCGCCGAGUGGAGCCGGUACACGUGCCGUGCGUCUCCAUCCCGGAGCGCAGGCGAGUUGCGGCUCCGCCGGCGGCCG
rnacentral:lncRNA from 1 species